rnacentral:rRNA from 1 species
GACGAACGCUGGCGGCGCGCUUAACACAUGCAAGUCGAACGGAAAGGCCUGCUUUCCCUUGUGGAUUGCGGGUACUCGAGUGGCGAACGGGUGAGUAACACGUGAGUGAUCUGCCCCCAACUUGGGUAUAAGCCUGGGAAACUGGGUCUAAUUCCCGAUAGGACUGCAGGGUGGUGCCUGUGGUGGAAAACGAUUUUCUAGUGGUUGGGGAUGAGCUCGCGGCCUAUCAGCUUGUUGGUGGGGUAAUGGCCUACCAAGGCGGCGACGGGUAGCCGGCCUGAGAGGGUGGACGGCGACAGUGGGACUGAGAUACGGCCCAGACGCCUACGGGAGGCAGCAGUGGGGAAUAUUGCACAAUGGGCGGAAGCCUGAUGCAGCGACGCCGCGUGGGGGAUGACGGCCUUCGGGUUGUAAACUCCUUUCGACCGAGAGGAAGCCACCUGGUUGGAAGGGUGGUGACGGUAGUGGUAGAAGAAGCACCGGCUAACUACGUG